UAUGCAAAUUCGAUUUCUUUUAUAAGAGCCAAAUAACCAAAUGCAAACAUUCAGUGUAUGCUGAAUGUUUACAUUUGAUUAUUUAAUUCUUUUGCAGAAGUUAACUGCUUGUUUUAAUAUUUCUUUUUUUUUUACAGAUCAUCAGGAAGGAAAUGGCAACGGCAGUUUGAUGGUCAGACUGGACAUUCGUGAAAAGCAAAAUCGACGAGGAUUUUCGUGAGUUCUGAUGAUUGAAUGCUGCCGAGGAAAAAGUGCAAAUUGACGAAGAUUUUCGUGAGUUCUUAUGAUUGAAUGCUGCCGAGGAAAAAGUGCAAAUUGACGAAGAUUUUCGUGAGUUCUUAUGAUUGAAUGCUGCCGAGGAAAAAGUGCAAAUUGACGAAGAUUUUUGUGAGUUCAGAUGAUUGAAUGCUGCCGAGGAAAAAGUGCAAAUUGACGAAGAUUUUCGUGAGUUCUGAUGAUUGAAUACUGCCGAAGACGGUAUGCAAAUCGACGAGGAUUUUCGUGAGUUCUGAUGAUUGAAUACGGCCUAGGACUCUCCCUAAAUCAACGAAGAUGUUCGUGAGUUCUGAUUAUUGAAUGCUGCCGUAAAAAGUCGACGAAGGUGUAUGCUGCCAGAAACAAGGUUCAAGUCAUCGAGGAGGAAAACUUCUGUCAACAGACGAUGUCAAAUUUCGAUUUGAUUCCCGCAAACGUACAUAAGGAGCGUUUCCCUAACACCGACAUUUUGUUUCCCGUAAACAAAAAAGUCUACGAAAAGCGUUUCCCUAUCACGGAAGUUACACUUCAGGACCUGCAUCAAAAAAAUACACCAACAGCACAAAGUGACGAAGAUUUUCGUGAGUUCUGAUGGUUGGCUGCCAAAAUCGACGAAGAUUUUCGUGAGUUCUGAAUACUGAAUGCUGCCUAAGUUGACGAAGAGUUUCGUGAGUUCUGAUGAUUGAAUGCUCUUACGAGUCAAAGUGGUGGUUUUCUAGCUCCAAUCCAAAAAAUGCGGCGAUUUAAGACGCAGACUCCAACGGUGCAGGAAAUAAAGUCGGCGAGGAGCUCGGGAAGCUGAAGAAGUUGAAACCAACGAAGAUUUUCGUGAGUUCUGAUGAUUGCAAGCUGACAACGAAAGGUAAACAAUCGACGAAGAUUUUCGUGAGUUCUGAUAGACAUUGACAAAGAAAAGCUAACAAUCGACGAAGAUUUUCGGGAGUUCUGAUGCCGGACAUCCCUACCGUCUUGUUGUGACGACCCGUCUCUCACUGCGCCCCGAGAUCCGCGCUCCCGCUGGACCCUGCUCGCCAACCUGCCCCAACCCGGAACGCGGAACGGUUUACGUAAGAGAAUUGAAGUUAAAAUAAGGAAAACAGAAACAAACACACAGUCGGGCAGCGCACAGCAAAAAAUCGCGCUUGCGAUUGUGUCGUACCAUCGUCGCCGUGAGUUGUGAGUAGCAGCUGGAUGAUUGUGUCUCUCAAGACUUGAGCGCGGAGCGCGAGACGACGUCAAGGAGGAAGCGCGGCGGACCGUCACCACCACCAAACCGCGUGCGGCUGUAAAUGUGUAUCGAGAGUAUAGGUGAAGGCGGAAGCUCGAGAAUGAAUAAUAUACUUUUGAAUUAGCAAAUUCGCUUAUUAGCGCGCGACGGUGGACUGUUGGACCGUCGCAUUGGUGGUGGUGGCGGCGAUGUCAGACAGCAGGAAAAGAAUUGGAAUCCAGGAAGAGAAUGGACUCGAAACAAAACCAGAAGACGACCUGAACGAGGAAGCGACGGCGACGUGUGCAGAGUUACCCGUGAACAGGAUACAAGAAUGUCGGAACGGCACGGACGAACGGACAGCAGUGGUUCUUUUGUGCCGUAUCAUCCGAGAUCUGCGUCAUUCGCACGCUGGAUUCUGUUUGUCUUUCCCCGGAUUUGACACGAAAGCAGCACACACAUCUGUGUGCGGUGUUGUCGCGAGAAGUAUAAUGAUAUCAUCAUUAGGCAGUUAGAAUUUCUCGCCGAGAAGAUGAAGUGGAAAAACUAUGAAUACUAAUUGCGGUGGAGUCGCGCGAACAAGAGGAGAGACAGAAGAAGGCAAACACGGGUAGAGCGGGGGGCGGCGAAGAAUGCAGACACGGAAAUAUGAGUCGCAGUUUGCGCGCGGCUUAAAAUAACUGCUGCUCGCAAGAACCGGACUGGAAAAUUCAGAUGAUUCACGUUCUCGCUGUUGCACAUCUCGGUUUGCGCGCCAUGUUUUUAAUACCAACAGGAAGUGCACUCGCGAACGCAAGCGAGUUAAUGUGCGAGAUAAAGGUCUCGGGAGUUGAGGAAGAAGGAAACAGUUAUUCCCGGAGAAACGUAAAUCUUACGAGAAUAGCAGAGCGAUUAGCAUGUAUAAAUUCAGCGCUGGCGUGAAAUGCACAUCCGGAACGUGCCAGCGAAGCCGACGAGUUAGUCAUAAGUGCCAGCGCAUGAGACUCACGGCGCGUGGGUGGUUCCCGCUCGAAUUGGACAAGCCGUUUGCGGUGCAGAUUUUAAUCAUGUUCGGAUUAUUAUUAAUCGACCGUCGAUUUGCUGUCAAUCGAGUCAGUCGCUAGCCAAGCGAACGAAGGAAGCAUGGUACGGCACGUAACUUCUGAUUACGUUUGCGGAAAUCUACACCGUCGUUGCGACGACCAACCAGAAGGAGCUGCCGCGUACGAAUAUUUACACAACAAUCUGCGAUAAAAAUCUAUGGAAAGAGUAAACACUGAGGCACAAGAUUAGUAAACAUGCCGACAAACGAGAGCUACUCCACACAAGUGCAGAACCCGGCUUAACUUGAAUUCUACUGCCGUAGUUGUGCAGUAGUUCCACGCAUACACCGCAGCAUCGCCGCGGAGCGGACAAGGAACACAAAACAGAACGCGCCAAUAAAACCAAUCAACUGUGCGACGACUGGCGGUGACGACGGUGACUGGUUAUCCUUGGAUCGGUCGCGAUUUCCGUUAUUUUCAAGCCGAAGCAGGAACUAGCGCGCCUUUUGGAGGCACGGCACGAUACCGUUUGUAGACGGAAGCGCUUCGUGCGAGACAAGUUUAUUGAUCUAUCAAGUCGCUCGGUUUAGCGGGCGCGCGUGAGAGAAGCUUCUCUGCAAAAAAGGGGGCGAGAACGGCGCACGUGGAGUAGUGCCAACCUGUUGCACGCGAUAGGAAUGCCGAAAAUCUCGUUCCUCUAGCGAUGCAUAAGCUUGAGAGGAAUGCGACAAUUGUAGGGUUCGCCUACUGGGAUGCGCAUCAUCGUUCCAAAUUGAGGCGUUCGCGGCGUAAUGAUGACCUUUCUCGAGAACCGUUCUCCGAAAUCUGAAUAAUCGCCGGAGCUCAGCUAUUUUUUAAUGACCAUGGUCAGAGGAGGUGUUCGGGAAAGAAAGGCCCCACCAUAAUUGUAAUUGUCCGUCUCUCGGGGCUCGGGUUGAUUGGAGAAUUUCGGGCCCCGGAGCGACACAUCGGCUUAGAGACUUCUGAAAAGAUCUCAUUUUGCCACGUCUGGUUUCCACAGAAAUUCGUGACUCGAGAUUUUUUCACUUCUAUAUCGUCAUCAUCUCAUCUUCACCGGUUCAGAAUAAUCAGGAAGAAUGGGUAGUGAAGAGAGAAGAGUUAAAAGAGUUCUGCCCUUCCGAUCGUUUUUUUCUCAUCCUAGAAUGGCCCCCCGAAACACCGCCGCCGCCGCCAUCGUAGCAGGCGAAAUUUAAAUCUUAAUCCACGCGCGCGCGCGUUCUCUUUCCCGCUCUUGUCCGCCUUGUUUUUGUUGUUGUUUCCUCCUAGAGGUGUACGAAGACGCCGCGCCGCUUCCAUUUUCGCCUACUGCGAGAGGCUUGCUCGGUUGACGAGAUCUAACCUUGAAAUGUCAGUAACCUCUGGCUCCGGUUGGGGGUUUCUUGUGCCUUUUCUCCGCGCGCGCACCGGUUCUUCAGAACAGGAACUACUUCUGCUAGGAGUAGUUUGUUGGACAGGUGACUUUCAAGAUGGCGUCGACUUAUCAGCUUCUUCCCAUUACUGGUAGGGGCGAGCCGCCUUGAUUGAUCGUGUGCGCACACGGUAAACAAUAGAGAGGACUUUCCUUCUGACGUCCCGCAGGGUGAUUAGAUAUCUGUAUAAUUUAGCUUUCGGAACAAUACGGAAGCUGAUAACGGGGCACCACCGGUGGCACUGACGAUAACAAACGCGGAGAAUGGUCAAUUGACACGGGUUUUUUACGGGAUUUGGACAGAUAACAUUGUUCAGAAGCCAUGCGCAGGCUAAAGUCCGGAACUGUGUGUUGGGUAGAGUUUGGCGAGCUACUCCAAGCGAAGAGUCCCGCAAGUCAGGAACUUGUUCUGAUUGACUGUUGUUUACUCGCUGUGUUGGCUCAGAACAAGAGUACACAGACAGAGAGUGAACACAUCAUAGCGGGCAGCGCCAGGCUGAUAACAAGUUAGUUCCUGUUGUGCGAGUGUGUUGACACUGCAAUCCAAGCAGCAGGCUGCUGCGAGAGUUGGGCAAACGCAAGGAGUUGACAAAUUCAGCGCGCGCACACUUUGAUUGACUGUUGCCGUUUUUUUUCUUGGCGAUGAGUUAUUAAACAAUUGACCGCAAGUGGGUCUUGAGUGCACCAGCCGGGCCAACAUUCAAUUAAGAACAAGAGCUAUUUUUUACUGUUAGCGCGGAGUGCGGACAAAUUAACUGUUAUCAUCAGCCUGUGCUGUGAGCUGUCCGACGAUUAUGAGCGCUGUCGUCGUGUGCAGAAAGUGGAGCAUAAGACGAGAGUGCCGUAUUGCUGAUAAACGAGUUUUGCCGGACUGCAGAAGCGCGCUAAUCAGCUGAUUCGUUAACAAGUUUCACAUACAUCGCGCUUCGCGAUGUCUCAAAUUAUGCAAUCGAACACACAUCGAAGCAGGCCGUCAGCGUCUUUCCCGAGCCCUUUGGGAACAACGGGAGGCUUAUUAGUCAGCCAUAUUGGAUUGCAGAACACGAGCAGAGUGCGCGUCGGGCCGUAAUUCGAACCCGCUCCUUGGGGCGAGUUCACAUGCUGGCGUUUGGACGGAGUUGAACAUAAAAAAAAUACCCCCGAGUUGACAAUAACAACGGGUACUUGGCCGCGGGUAGCGGUUGUUCCCGACGGGUUGUGUGUGCGGAUUUGCUGGCGUCGGCGUAAAUGGUGUAAUUUUAUUAAUUGCACUAUGGCCGCACGCAAAUUUUGUGCAUUUCACACACUUUUUGGGCAACCUGGUUCCGCGACGCACCGUUGCGCUGAUGGUGCACUUUAUUUGGUCGCCGUUGGCCGCGCGAACAUACACACACACAGCGACACGCAAAAUUUAUGAAUAUUAUUUCCUUUCUGAUAGGUGCAGUUUAACGUGCACGCGUUUGACAGCUGACUGUGCGCGUUUUGCGGGUACCGGAAUUGUGCUUUUUUUUUGGGUUCCGCAACGGACCUUUGGACCUUAAAGCUGCAGCCAAAUUUGGUUGCAGUAGGCGCUGAGUUGUCUCGUUUGUUUAUGUGUCGUGGAAGUUUGUCGCACACAGCUUGUCAUAACUUAACGGAAGUUUGACUAACUGUCAAGCGAUCACGGCUAGCUUUGAUCGCGUUUAGGACGCCAUCUCCCCGCACUGUACACUAUACUACCCAGCGAAGAGAUGCCGUAGAAUCACGUGCACGGACGGUAAUUUGAGAAGUUCUUAACGGCCACUGACCUGCCCAAAUCCAGCGUGCGUGAGUGUGUGUGUGUUGCCAAAUCAAUUAUGGCUCCACUGCGGAGCCGUCUGACCACGUACAAAAAAAAAAACCUAGACGAUUAGACGACUCGUUAGGACAAUAAAUGGGCAUUACGUGGAAAGAGUUGGAAGAACUGAGAUGAAGAGAUGCUGAUGGAGAUUGAGAGCCGGUGGAAGAGCCCGGACACAAAACCUGUGCUCGCGGCUGAAGAACUUGAAAAUCAUCUUCCCUUCGCGUCCGUCCCGCUGCCGCUGCGCGGCAGGUCCGGCUUCCUAGAUCUUCGACUUCUUUGAAACUUCGCUUUUUUUCGGUUACUUUGAAACGAUUAAAAUUAUCACAAAUUUAAAUUCUUCUCUCUCUCGCGCGCGCUCGUUCUGGAGGUGAUGUUUGCGCCUUCUUAUAAACCUUCCCAUUUCGAUGGCGAUGCUGCUGCCGUGGUUGGGCUCGCUCUAGGUUCGUCGGACGCGGAACUCUGCUUCUCCGCGCGGGAACAACGACCGGUCGAACUCUGUGUUAGGGAAGAAGGGAGAGCGCGCGAAGGUGUAGACACAACUCCGGAGAAGAAAGCUUCAAAUCUAAAAGGUAAAUAACACUUUACGAGCAUCCCAUUCCUGAUACUUCUUUUGAAAAACGCUCAACGCUUGGGCACCGACUCUUGGUCUUCUUGGCGGUGUUGUUGUUCUGCGUUAGGUCGGUUGAUGUAAGGCUGAUGAUGCUGGCAAGACUAGCCGAAAAAAAACGAGGAACGUUUUACGCAGCAUGGGAUGAAAAAUCGUUCCUGAAAGAUUUCUUUCUCCGGAGUUUCGUGUUUUCGGGUUGGGCUGUUUCCUCUAAUGCUUCGGUCGUUUUUUGUUGUGUGUUGUUCGAGUUUCGAGGUUGGCUCACUCUCUACACAGGAAAACAAAGGAAGAUCUUACAUUCCAACGAUCUCUUCGUCGUUUCCCUUUGCCCUCCUCGGGUCGCUUCGUCUCGUGGUAAUCUUAGAAGAGGUCCUUUUUCCCGAAUUAUUUUUUUGUCGGCCUUUGUUAUUUUAGUUGGUGGGUCCCAAAGUGAGACAGAGAGAGAGAAUGAAGUGGGAAAAAAGCGUUCUCUAUUCAUACAAAUAGAGAACCUCUAAAUGGAUCUAGUUUUGGGUUUCCUGGGAAAAACGAGCCAACAGGAACCAAUCUGAUUUAUGGCGUUGAGCGCGCUUUGUUGUGGACUCUGGUGGUCAAAAGGGCCGAUCGUCCUCUCGAUUUGUGACAGAUUUUAUUCGACUUAGUACUUUUGAUGUACUCGUUUUUUUUGGAAUUGAACUCAAUGUUUUUCUUGCCGUUUCAUGGUGUCUGUUUCAACGGUUCCUGCUCUGUUUGAGGAGGGCAGGAAGUCAACGAAAAUAUUAUUUUAACAAACAUAACACAUUUGGCUUCGACUGAAUGGGAAGAAUAGAAGAACAUGGUCAUGAGAGUCAGGUAGGGAGUUCUAGGAAUUUGAAGGUUUGUUGGUUUGCCAAAACCUGCUGAAGUUUGUACUUCAUGGAACGCUUUUCCAGAAUUCAAGAUGGCGACCAAUGUCUGAACCUGAGUUGUUUUCCGAGAAGUCUUGAUUUGACACCAAUGCUAUGCUAUGCUAUGCAAGAUCUGUUCGCCUAUGAUCAGAUUAAACGACAAGUUCAGCCAAUUCUACCGGAUAAGAUAACCCAAAGUCUACCGACGUUCCGGCUGCUGAUUGUGACGUGAUCCGGUCAUAUAACCGGUCCACAAAACGUCAACUUUUGCGAGUAUUAAGUAUGCGCACGUUUUGCACCGAAAGUCGACAAAUUCCCAAUCGUAAAGCAAUAAACUUCGGUGGCGGAACCGUGCCGAAUCCCGGCUCCAGAUUGGUCGAGGUAGCAAAACACACUUUGCUCUUAUCGCCGUCAGAUUUGGACACGCUAAUCAAUUGUUUUGUACCGAAGAAGACGCGUCGGGAAGUUUAUUGUUCCUGGCUGCUGUUGCCGAUUUUUUGAGGUGUUUAUGACGCAAAGCGUGAAAUUUUAGAUAAGUAAUUGCGACGGCUGCGACUAAUUAAACUUUGCUCGAAGCGACUUCUGCAAAUGAGAGUUCGCUCAGUGUACUAGCGCGCAGCGCGCUUCGAGCACAAAAAUCAACGAGCUUUGUUGAAGACGCGAGAACGCAUCGUUUAACCCCUUAAAUGUUUCGCCACGAAGAAGCAAGUGUUGCCGUCGGCAAACA